rnacentral:rRNA from 1 species
CACGUAGGGCGCAAGCGUUGUCCGGAAUUAUUGGGCGUAAAGAGCUCGUAGGCGGUCUGUUGCGUCCGCUGUGAAAACUCGGGGCUUAACCCCGAGCCUGCAGUGGAUACGGGCAGACUAGAGGUGAGGUAGGGGAGAAUGGAAUUCCCGGUGUAGCGGUGAAAUGCGCAGAUAUCGGGAGGAACACCGGUGGCGAAGGCGGUUCUCUGGGCCUUACCUGACGCUGAGGAGCGAAAGCGUGGGGAGCGAACAGG